GACGAACGCUGGCGGCGUGCUUAAUACAUGCAAGUCGAGCGAGGUUACUGUUUCGGAUCCCUUCGGGGUGAAGAGGCUUUAACCUAGCGGCGGACGGGUGAGUAACGCGUGGGUAACCUACCCCAAAGUCCGGGAUAACAGCGGGAAACCGCUGCUAAUACCGGAUGUCUUUACCUUGGGGCAUCUUGAGGUAAAGAAAGGUAACGCUUUGGGAUGGGCCCGCGUCCCAUUAGCUAGUUGGUGAGGUAACGGCUCACCAAGGCGACGAUGGGUAGCCGGCCUGAGAGGGUGGACGGCCACACUGGGACUGAGACACGGCCCAGACUCCUACGGAGGCAGCAGUAGGGAUAUUGCGCAAUGGACGGAAGUCUGACGCAGCGACGCCGCGUGAGCGAUGAAGGUCUUCGGAUCGUAAAAGCUCUGUCCUUGGGGAAGAAGGUCUUCGGACUUGACGGUACCCAAGAAGAAAGCCCCGGCUAACUACGUG
rnacentral:rRNA from 1 species